GAUGAACGCUGGCGGCGUGCUUAACACAUGCAAGUCGAACGAAGAUGCCGGAGUGCUUGCACUUUGGCAGACUGAGUGGCGGACGGGUGAGUAACGCGUGGGUAACCUGCCUUAUACAGGGGGAUAACAGUUGGAAACGACUGCUAAUACCGCAUAAGCGCACGGUAUCGCAUGAUACAGUGUGAAAAACUCCGGUGGUAUAAGAUGGACCCGCGUCCGAUUAGCUGGUUGGUGAGGUAACGGCUCACCAAGGCGACGAUCAGUAGCCGGCCUGAGAGGGUGAACGGCCACAUUGGGACUGAGACACGGCCCAAACUCCUACGGGAGGCAGCAGUGGGGAAUAUUGCACAAUGGGGGAAACCCUGAUGCAGCGACGCCGCGUGAGUGAUGAAGUAUUUCGGUAUGUAAAACUCUAUCAGCAGGGAAGAUAAUGACGGUACCUGACUAAGAAGCACCGGCUAAAUACGUGCCAGCCGCCGCCGUAA
rnacentral:rRNA from 1 species